rnacentral:rRNA from 1 species
UACGUAGGGUGCAAGCGUUGUCCGGAAUUAUUGGGCGUAAAGAGCUCGUAGGCGGCUUGUCACGUCGACUGUGAAAACCCGGGGCUCAACUCCGGGCCUGCAGUCGAUACGGGCUGGCUUGAGUGCGGUAGGGGAGACUGGAAUUCCUGGUGUAGCGGUGAAAUGCGCAGAUAUCAGGAGGAACACCGGUGGCGAAGGCGAGUCCCUGGACAACACCUGACACUGAGGCACGAAAGCUAGGGGAGCAAACAGG